AUGGAAUACUUAUUUUUUUAUUGAAAACCAGUGUUUUCAGAUCGUUGAGGUUUUGUAUAAUCCUCUAUUUUUCGUGAAAUCAAAACCUAUAUAUACCAAUGAAACACAGUGUACAUUGUAUGGAAUUGUUGUUAUUUAUCAUUCUUGUAAAAAUAAAAUCAGUUGUUUUUUUUUGGCGAUAAAUGCUUUGACGGACUGUAACCGUUUAAACACUAAGUGCUUAAUGUUUAUUUGAAAAGUAAUGUAAUCUUCGGAAAAUAUCAAAAACAGGGUUUUAAUUAUUUUAUUGGAGAUGGGCUAAUAAUUAUUCAUGGCUGUACCUGGAAUUGUGUAUUUACAUAUUUGUAUUACGUAAAAUUUUUUCAUGUUCAUUUAUUGAAAGUCUUAUCAUACAACCAUUUGCAUAAAGAUAUGUUUAUUUUUAAUUUUUUUUAAUGUUUUUCUGUAUGUGUUUUUAUAAUGAGAUCUACUCUUUGUGCUUUGUGCCACUAAACACCAAUAAUUCGUU
rnacentral:sRNA from 1 species